GUCGCCUCCUAAAAGGUAACGGAGGCGCUCAAAGGUUCCCUCAGAAUGGUUGGAAAUCAUUCAUAGAGUGUAAAGGCAUAAGGGAGCUUGACUGCGAGACCUACAAGUCGAGCAGGGUCGAAAGACGGACUUAGUGAUCCGGUGGUUCCGCAUGGAAGGGCCAUCGCUCAACGGAUAAAAGCUACCCCGGGGAUAACAGGCUUAUCUCCCCCAAGAGUUCACAUCGACGGGGAGGUUUGGCACCUCGAUGUCGGCUCAUCGCAUCCUGGGGCUGUAGUCGGUCCCAAGGGUUGGGCUGUUCGCCCAUUAAAGCGGUACGCGAGCUGGGUUCAGAACGUCGUGAGACAGUUCGGUCCCUAUCCGUCGUGGGCGUAGGAAAUUUGAGAGGAGCUGUCCUUAGUACGAGAGGACCGGGAUGGACAUACCUCUGGUGUACCAGUUGUCGUGCCAACGGCAUAGCUGGGUAGCUAUGUGUGGACGGGAUAAGUGCUGAAA
rnacentral:rRNA from 1 species